rnacentral:rRNA from 1 species
CCUACGGGAGGCUGCAGUGAGGAAUAUUGGUCAAUGGGCGAGAGCCUGAACCAGCCAAGUCGCGUGAGGGAGUACGGCCCUGUGGAUUGUAAACUUCUUUUAUCAGGGGAUAAAGGGAGCCACGUGUGCCCUUUUGUGUGUACUUUGUGAAUAAGGAUCGGCUAACUCCGUGCCAGCAGCCGCGGUAAUACGGAGGAUCCGAGCGUUAUCCGGAUUUAUUGGGGUUAAAGGGAGCGUAGAUGGGGUGUUAAGUCAGUUGUGAAAGUUUGGGGCUCAACCGUAAAAUGGCAAUUGAUACUGGCAGCCUUGAGUACAGUUGAGGUAGGCGGAAUUCGUGGUGUAGCGGUGAAAUGCUUAGAUAUCACGAAGAACUCAGAUUGCGAAGGCAGCUUACUAACCCGCCACUGACAUUGAUGCUCGAAAGUGUGGGUAUCAAACAGGAUUAGAUACCCUUGUAGUU